GGGCGAUUAGCUCAGUUGGCUAGAGCGUUAGCUCGACAAGCUAAAGGUCACUGGUUCGAAUCCAGUAUCGCCCACCA
rnacentral:tRNA from 1 species